GGUGAUUGCAUGCUAGGGUUUGGGGAGACAGGAUCCAGGGGGCCCAAGUAAAUUCUUGCCCAGGGUCCAAUCAAUAUUAAAGACGGCCCUAGUUAUUGAUAUUAAAGUGGUGGGGUUUAUAUCUGGUUAUUCUGGAGUUAGCCUAAAAAGUUUUGUGAAUUAUGAGCAAUUGUCCUUUGGCAUACAGAUAUACUGCCAUCUAGUGGUGUAUUCAUAGAAUUACAAAGUACAGUACUUUGAGAUUUAAAUGGAGUCUGUCACCACUCU